rnacentral:snoRNA from 1 species
UUCCAUCGCUAAGUCAAGGCGCCUUUCUGCCUCGUUGCAAUUUUUCUCCAUGAAAGUGUGCCUGUUACAGCUUUGGUACAUCAAGCAGCGCUCGCCGCCAUCUGGCGGUCUUCGACCUGGCAUCCGUCUUGGAAGCCUUGUCAUUAGAGCGCAUGGCGUGUUUCGUUUGAGUUGAGGUCUGCUUGGAGCGGGAAUUUCUCGGUCCUUCAACUCAUGGCAUACCUCUUAGUAAUGUCUCACACAUAC